GUCAAGGAAACAGAACCUCCAGAAUAUUUUGAGGGGUACUGCCCUCUACUGUGAACUUUAAUGAAGAGAAGAGUCUAGAGGACCAAGGGAUGUGUUCACUUUAAACCUACUGUGCCUUCCCUGAAAGGGGCACUGAAGAAGUGAGUGUCUGUUAGUUCUACAGUAGUAAGGAAGCCAACUCUGCCAACAGUCAUAUGAAACCGGAAGCAGACCCUGAGCCCUACAUGAGACUGCAGUCCUGGCCAACAUAGUGACACCAUCUAGCAAGACAGAGACUAUGAGGUGAUGAAUACAUUAUCAACUGCUGUAUUUGUGGAAUGCUCUGGAACAGAGGGUCGAAAGGGCCAGUUUAUGUUUAGACACCAUGGUGCUGAUAUAGGUAUCUGGUAACAUGACUGACACUGGACAAACCAGAAGACUAAGUCAAAACAAAAUGGUUGACUCUGGAAACCCCAAAGCAAACAGAUAAAAUGUAUUAUGUUUUGGGCA
rnacentral:lncRNA from 1 species